CCUACGGGUGGCUGCAGUGGGGAAUAUUGCACAAUGGGGGAAACCCUGAUGCAGCGACGCCGCGUGAGCGAAGAAGUAUUUCGGUAUGGUAAGCUCUAUCAGCAGGGAAGAAAAUGACGGUACCUGAGUAAGAAGCCCCGGCUAAAUCCGUGCCAGCAGCCGCGGUAAUACGUAUGGAGCAAGCGUUAUCCGGAUUUACUGGGCGUAAAGGGAGCGUAGGCGGCCUGCCAAGUCUGAUGUGAAAUACCGGGGCUCAACCCGGGGGUUGCAGUGGAAACUGGCAGGCUGGAGUGCCGGAGAGGCAGGCGGAAUUCCUAGUGUAGCGGUGAAAUGCGUAGAUAUGAGGAGGAACACCAGUGGCGAAGGCGGCUUGCUGGAGGGUGACUGACGCUGAGGCUCGAAAGCGUGGGGAGCGAACAGGAUUAGAUACCCUAGUAGUC
rnacentral:rRNA from 1 species